rnacentral:pre_miRNA from 1 species
UUUGGGGGAAAUAGUGGUCCGUUAAGUUGGGGAAAAAGACAUCAUCCCUUGAAAUAAAAUUAGGUUUGUUUCCUUUUACUCCUAAAAUCUUUUUACCGUGGGUAAAAAGAAUCAAUAUGGGAAAAAGGAACCCAAUUUAAAUUUAACUCAAGGGGUCUUGAUGUCGUUUUCCCCAACAAGAUGGAUCGCUAUUUUCCCCAAG